rnacentral:rRNA from 1 species
CCUACGGGAGGCUGCAGUGGGGGAUAUUGCACAAUGGGGGAAACCCUGAUGCAGCGACGCCGCGUGAGUGAAGAAGUAUUUCGGUAUGUAAAGCUCUAUCAGCAGGGAAGAAAAUGACAGUGCUUGACCAAGAAGCCGCGGCUAACUCCGUCCCAGCCGCCGCGGCCAUACUAAGGGGGAAAGCGUUAUCCGGCUUUACGGGGAGGAAUGGGAGCGUGGACGGUUGUGGAAGUCUGGAGUGAAAGCCCGGGGCCCAACCCCGGGACUGCUUUGGAAACUGUGGGACUGGAGUACAGGAGGGGCAGGCGGAAUUCCUGGUGUAGCGGUGAAAUGCGUAGAUAUCAGGAGGAACACCGGCGGCGAAGGCGGGUUGCUGGACUGUAACUGACGUUGAGGCACGAAAGCGUGGGGAGCAAACAGGAUUAGAUACCCUAGUAGUC